AUUUACACACCUCUCUCUCUCUCUCCCUAUCUCUGUCUUUGUCUCAUGCGCAUGCUCAUGCUUACACAUACUCCACGUGUUCAUGGAAUAACUGAGAGAAUUCAGGAAAGGACUCCUCCAGCUAGACCUAUAUGCUUUCUCCUCACUGGCCUGAGGUUCUGCUAACUGAAUCCAUUCCUCCUUGUCAGGCUCUCUGUCUUGAACAAUUGUCAGUUCAAAUGAAAAUGCUCCUAAAAUAAGAGUUUGUGGAGUCCAUGAACUACCCCACAUCAAGCUAAUGAGCUAAUAUUGUUCAUUAGCAUCAUAUUGACAAAUAGUUUAAAUUUACUUGGAGGAAUAAUUAUUAUCGUUUUGAGGGCACCUACAAGUUUUGAGGGCACUGUCUAGGCACUGUGAGGAGUAUCAGGACCACUCAGUCUCCUACCCAGUGGGACGUGAAAGAGACAGGUCAAGGACAAGAAGACAGAGAAAAUAAGGUUAUAAUAGAAGAGAUAGAGGAAGAGAUGACAACAGGUGGAAAAGGAAAUUAAAACAGAAAACCAGAAAAUGUCAAAGGCAAAUUUCCUCUCUUACAGUUUUGCAUGGCAUGACCAAAGAGCCAAAAUAUAGCAACAAUUUGUCAAAUCUGCUUUCCUUCACCUGCCCUUUUGCAGACCAGAGAGCCUUGCAAGAAUAAGAAAAAUCAGUCAUGCCCAUGACUAUGUUUUUAAUUGCAGAAAUAUCUGACAUACUUACCCAAACAUUUGUCUCUAUGAAUAAAGGGAUGCUAUUAAGGAUUGCAUAGAAUUGCAAGGCUUUUGCAUAAGGUUUUAUGAAAUUUUAGUUAUUAAUAUAAUUGCUGUUGAAACAUGAAACUGAGACACAUCUCUGCACGACAAAAACAUAACCACUUCUUCUCUGCCUGAUUCUUUCACUUGUGUGCUAAAAUAAACUAGAGGCGGCUGAAGUUUAGAACAGUUUUUCAGAACUGUAAAUCCUGUUGAGUGUAAGCCACUUAGAGAAGGGUGAUUGGUCGAAGAUUAUUGGUCUCUUUCAGAUGGUAUCAAAUUAAGGGCUGGAUUCAGCUCCUGGAGUCUGUGAUAGCAAUUACAGAUGGAGCGAACUUCAAACGCUUUGGAGCUUGUGUCUAAUUCAGAGUAACACAUGACAUCUUGGACAGAUCCCGACAUGCUUAUGAAAGUAUAAAUGGAGUUGGAAAUCUCACGAAAUAAGUUAAAGAUAUCAUCCUUUAUGAGUGUGGGGAUGAGAAGAUAGGGGUAGUUCUCUGUCUGAUUACCAUUUUCUUCAGAGGAAAAGAGGAAGACAACUGAAAUACAAAAUAAAGGCCAAGGAAAAUUUGUUCCUGUAUGAUCCCAUUCCAGUGCUUGAAAAAGCAGAGCAAACAUUACAUAAUCCCUGCUGAUUGAAGGAUAAUGAAUAUUCAGUUUUCAAAAUCACUUCCAGAUAACAUCGGCCACUUAAAAUUAGUUUAAGUACUUUAAUGUGUUUUAAUCGGAAAUGGAUGAAAUCGAAGUGGUACUUCUCUACUAAAUGAAGGUGUUUGGUUUAUAGGAAUUAUUUCAGUAAGAUAGUCCUAAAUGUUACCAUCUGAGAAUAAACAGCAACCUAUCAACACUUCUUACGUAUGUACACGACAGACCAGUGACACUCAGAAUGCAGGCCUCCUUCCCCUGCUGCCAGGCAGGCCCUGUACCCGCUUCUGGUUGAUGGACUGGGAAGACUUGGCAGAAUGUGAUCAUCCAGGAAAGGCCUCAUUUGUUCUCUUCCCCUGCUGAAGCAGUCAUAGGACAGGUGAGAUGACAGAUCCCUGACAUCAAAACAAAUGGGCUCCUGGGUGACCACGUGGAGGACAAUUGCACAAUUGGUCUGACAAGGCAAUCAGACUUCCAGUAGACUUUGCACAAAAGAAAAAUAAUGCUUCUUUUGUAUUAAGUUGCUGUGAUUUAGGUGCUAUUUGUCACUGCACCAUAACCUAUCCUAGUCUGAUGAAUACCGUAUGGACUGAAGAAACAUGUUUAACAAUGCCAGAAUGCUAACAACAUAGUAACCUCAUUUAAAAAAAAUUUUUUUAACAUU